CUGGCUCAGGAUGAACGCUGGCGGCGUGCUUAACACAUGCAAGUCGAACGAAGCUCUUAGAACGGAGGAUUCGUCUGAAGUGAUAAGAUGACUUAGUGGCGGACGGGUGAGUAACGCGUGGGGAAUCUGCCCCGUACCGGGGGAUAACACUUAGAAAUAGGUGCUAAUACCGCAUAAGCGCACGGUGUCGCAUGACACAGUGUGAAAAACUCCGGUGGUACGGGAUGAUCCCGCGUCUGAUUAGCCAGUUGGCAGGGUAACGGCCUACCAAAGCGACGAUCAGUAGCCGGCCUGAGAGGGUGAACGGCCACAUUGGGACUGAGACACGGCCCAAACCCCUACGGGAGGCAGCAGUGGGGAAUAUUGCACAAUGGGGGAAACCCUGAUGCAAGCGACGCCGCGUGAGUGAAGAAGUAUCUCGGUAUGUAAAGCUCUAUCAGCAGGGAAGAAAAUGACGGUACCUGACUAAGAAGCCCCGGCUAACUACGUGCCAGCAGCCGC
rnacentral:rRNA from 1 species